AAGUACAGCACCUUCAGCUCCCUGGGAUACAUACUGCCGCUGGGGAUCUGGGCUGACUGCCCAGCAUCCCUGUAGGGCCUGUAGAGAGACCUCGGUCCCAUCCCCACCUGCCAGCUGGGUGUCUUCCCAGGACAAGUCAAUAAGGUCUUCCAUCUCUGGGGCUGGUUGGGACAUAGGUGGUACAGUACCAAAGUCUCCUGAUAACAGGCUUGGUUGCUGGGGAGGAGGAACUAAACUCAAUGCUUCCAGUGGUAUACAGUCAAUAAGCCCCAUCAUGUCAAAGACAGGCGGCGUUAUACGUUGGAAUAGGCAAACAUAAUCCUGUUCUAGUUCCCACUCUCGGUUGGCAAGAAAAGAUAGAUCUGGCUGAAUGGCAUCGAUCUCUGUAAGGUCCCAGUUGUCUGCCCACUCAGCUCGGAUGGACCAGAAGCGAGCAAUGUCGGUGUCUCCGAACCAGAGACUAGUUUCAAUAGUAUCCCACAACAAAC